AUUGAGCUUGGUGGGUUGCUACUGGUUGGGUGUCUUCGGGGAUGUCUACCGUAAAGGUGCAUGAGUGGUGUUUGGUUUGUUACGGGUGGUUGGCUCUUUGCUUGCGCAACAACUUCUACCUGGCAUACCUCUUCAGUCUUGUGUCAAUGCUUGUAUUGCAUUGAAUGCACGGUGGGUUUCUUGUGUUGCAUGCCUAAUUUAAUGGUAUUGCUUGAUGAAUUGGUUUUCCUUUCGUUUUGCAUUGCCUAUGCGAUGUGAGAUGAACCUUGAAGCAGCCUUUGUGAUCCACUGAUUUGAUGCAUAUGCAUUGAUUUUGUGGCCCAUUGAGUGUUGCUCGGUCUCAUGGAUAUGGAACCUGGUGUGGGCAUGGAAUCUUAAUGGUUCCUUGUUUGCCCAAGUUUAGCUUUUCUAAAACGAUUGUCUAUCAUGUGCUAACAUG
rnacentral:misc_RNA from 1 species